UGGGGAAUUGUUCACAAUGGGCGCAAGCCUGAUGACGCAACGCCGCGUGGGGGAUGAAGGUCUUCGGAUUGUAAACCCCUGUCGAAUGGGACGAAUGAACCGCGCAUUAACACCGCGCGGAAAUGACGGUACCGUUAAAGGAAGCCACGGCUAACUCUGUGCCAGCAGCCGCGGUAAUACAGAGGUGGCAAGCGUUGUUCGGAAUUACUGGGCGUAAAGGGCGAGUAGGUGGCCAUCUAAGUCAGACGUGAAAUCCCCCGGCUUAACCUGGGAACUGCGUCUGAUACUGGACGGCUAGAGUAUGGGAGAGGGAUGUAGAAUUCCAGGUGUAGCGGUGAAAUGCGUAGAUAUCUGGAGGAAUACCGGUGGCGAAGGCGGCAUCCUGGACCAUUACUGACACUGAACCGCGAAAGCUAGGGGAGCAAACGG
rnacentral:rRNA from 1 species